rnacentral:rRNA from 1 species
UACGUAGGGGGCAAGCGUUGUCCGGAUUUAUUGGGCGUAAAGAGCGUGUAGGCGGUCUGGUAGGUCCGUUGUGAAAACUCGAGGCUCAACCUCGAGACGCCGAUGGAAACCAUCAGGCUAGAGUCCGGAAGAGGAGAGUGGAAUUCCUGGUGUAGCGGUGAAAUGCGCAGAUAUCAGGAAGAACACCCGUGGCUAAGGCGGCUCUCUAGUACGGUACUGACGCUGAGACGCGAAAGCGUGGGGAGCGAACAGG